rnacentral:misc_RNA from 1 species
GAUGAAGAACGCAGCGAAAUGCGAUAAGUAAUGUGAAUUGCAGAAUUCAGUGAAUCAUCGAAUCUUUGAACGCACAUUGCGCCCGCCAGUAUUCUGGCGGGCAUGCCUGUUCGAGCGUCAUUUCAACCAUCAAGCUCUGCUUGCGUUGGGGAUCCGCGGCUGCCCGCGGUCCCUCAAAACCAGUGGCGGGCUCGCUAGUCACACCGAGCGUAGUAACUUUACAUCGCUAUGGUCGUGCGGCGGGUGCUUGCCGUAAAACCCCCCAAUUUUUAAGGUUGACCUCGGAUCAGGUAGGAAUACCCGCUGAACUUAAGCAUAUCAAUAAGCGGAGGA